rnacentral:rRNA from 1 species
AUGGAAUUCCGCGAGGAUAUAGCCCGGAGACGACGAACAAAAAUGCGUUCAUUUGCCUCAAACUUUAGAGGGGCUCAUUUAAGACUUAAUCGAAUGAUUAUCCAACCGGUAAAAAGGGCUAUGAAUAACCCAGUAUCGAAUACUGGUAAUAAUAUCAGCAAAAGAACGUUCUCCCGUGCUUCCAGACAUGCAGAACUCCCAAAAAAUUUGUACAUUCAAAAAAGGAAUUGA